ensembl:lncRNA
GCCCGUUUCACGCAAAAUUAGUUGAAGGGAUUAAAUAUCCCACAAAAUAACGAGUGCCACAUUUUUUAUUCUCUCCCUGGAUGAGUAAAACACCCGUGAAACAUCCACCAUGCAUUUCCGUUCAGCUAAUCCCCGCCUGCACACUCCAAAUUCAAUAUCGCCAGCUAUUCUCGGUGCUAAAGAAUCAUUUUACUUUUUCCAAGUACACAGAAAAUUUGAAACAGCUGGAAACGAAAAACGAAGGAUUCCUUUGUGUGCAAAUCUCCAUCCUGAGUCUCAGCAAGGAGGGAAACCUGCGCUGUGCUGGUGGUGGAUGUGAUGGAGAUGCAGUGAGCCUGACCCGGUGCUGGGUGCCCCUUGGAGCCACGUGUCCCUUCCUUGCUUAUUUGAGGGAAACAGCCAGAUUUUGACAUGCCAGCUUCCUCAGAAGAAGAAUCGUUGGUCUGUUGCCUGCACGUGUUGGAUGUUAAUACGCAGAUGAUUGGUCUUGAAAAUAUUUCAAGUUUCAGUGUGGGCUCUCAUUCAUCCAUGCAAGAGGAGACCUGUGGCUCCGGGGUAAGAUUGAUCCAUCUCUCUGGAUCCCAGUGCCUUAUGGGGUGGAAGAGGGAGGAACUGUUGUGCAGAGGAGGAAGCUCCUCUCCAUGGGAGUCCGUUGGGUUUGAGUCCAAAUGGCUGGACACUCACAGACCCGGCGCCGUGUCCCUGCCGUGUGCUCCCUGCGCACUGCUUGGGUCUCAUUCCAGAUGUACAUAAAUGACAUUUAACAUUAUUAGCGACAGGAUGAGGGGAAAUGGCUUUAAACUGGAAGAGCAUCAAUUUAGACUAGAUAUUAGGAAGAAAUUCUUAUUGUGGGGGUGCUGAGACUCUGGAACAGCUUGCCCAGAGAGGUCACGGAUGCCACCAGGCUGGAAGCACUCAAGGCCAGGCUGGAUGGGGCUGUGAGCAACCUGGUCUAGAGGGAGGUGUCCCUACCUAUAGCAGGGGGUUGGAACUAGAUGAUCUUAAAGGUCCCUUCCAACCCAAACCAUUCUAUGAUUAUUAGAUUAAUUUGGACAAAACCCCCCAUAUUAGGUCUGCCUUACAGGACCCAGUUGUCCAAUAACUUUCACUCCCAAACUGUCCACUUUGCAUCAGAUUCUUAGAAAAUCCACACUGUAAGUUGGGAUUGUGCGCUGGGGUUUCUGUGUGUGCUUUUGUUUUCCACGCAGGAGGAAAUCUGUAGCUAAUGGGAGUUUCCAUUUAUGAGAUUCUACAGCUCUUCCAGCAUUCCCCUGCACUGGUCCCAGGAGCUGAAUUUAUGACAAGAAGUUUCAAAGCGAGCUGUAUAAGGAAGAAGCAAGUCUGAGAUCCUGCUCUGCCCAUGCCAGGAGGUCCCAGGUUCCUUCCAAGCUUAUGCCCAGGAUUUGGUUUCAGCAGUAAUCUAAGGGAAGUGGUUGGCUCUCUCCUGCCUGUGCCUGACCCCUGUCCAACAGCACGAAGGAGAAUGAAGAGGAUGGACUUUGCUGGAGGCAGGAACCUCUCCAAGGUGUGGAUCUGCUGCAUGUGCCCAUCUGGAAUUUUUAACGCCGUGAGGCUCAAGGGACGUCUUGACUGUUCCUCAUUCCAACUCUUGCUGGAUUACCUGUCCAAGGCUCCAUAAUUGCAGCUGCUGCUGAGAUAACAAAGUCUGCUUUGGGACCAGCAGUGCAGCCCCUGGGAAGCACUGAUCCCCCUCUGUGUCAGGAUGUGCUGUCUGCAGGGCAGCUGAGUGAGUCAAGGGCUGGAUUUGCCUGGCUCUGAACUGAACAAAUACAGCAAGGCACAGCCUGCUCCAAGCUUCUUUAGGUCCAGCAAGAGACAGCAAAAUUCACUGGUUUCACUUUGAGGUGUGAUGGAAGACAGAUCCUAUCAGAAACUUCUCUGUGUCAUCUGGUUGGCCAAGACACCUACAGAGUCUGAGUCUUAACACGGGUCUUCAGAGCCAGGUGCUCCCGUAGCACAGAUGUCCCAGCUCACCUGCCACCAGCUGCCCUCCUGUGCCCCCUUCCCAUCCGUUCCUAAGACUGCCGUGGCUGAGUGCUCUGUGUUUGCUUUGAAGUGCCCCAUGCAUCUGCAGGCUCUGCUCCUCACUCCUUCCUGAUGCCCUCCGCGGUGACACCUGUCAGGGAUGGAGUUUGCAAUGUAAUAACCUCAUUCUGCUACAAAUGCUGAGGCUUCACGACUCAUCUGUCUGCCAGGCAGAGCAUUUCCUGACCUUUUUAAGAAAGCUGGGGAUGGAAAAGCAGCCGGACUGGAGGGUGUCCCGUCUGCCUGGAACCAAAACAGCAUCGCUGAGAGUUCUGGAGGGGAGGAAACUUGCAGCUCAGAGCCAGCAGUGAGGGCUGAGAGCUUGCAUGACCUCCCCUUCCUCCAGAGAGGGAAGAUUGGACUGGCUGCUAUUAUAUUUGAGCAUGUAAGUGAUGAUGUUCUCCUUCAAAUAUCUCAUCAGCUGAUAAAUGCAAAUCCAGAAGAAGCUGAUGCUUGCAUAGGGAGCUGGAUGUCCAGGGCUGCUUUCUCUGAUGGUGUUGGACAUGAGCAGUGGGUAUCCCACAUUUUGCACUAAGGACAUUGGAGGUGUGAUGGCAGAAGGCACUGCUUCCAUCAGUGUUUUCGGUGGCAAGUUUGAGAAUGGAAACCUAAAACACUGCAGCUUCUCUGGUGCUGUCCCAGGUCAGGUGUCCUAGGUCAGAGAUGUCUCAUGGGAGCAUGGCUGUCCCCUGUUAGUGAAAGAUGUCCUUGUUUCAGCUGGAAUAGAAUGGAUUGUCACCUAGUAGCUGGGAUGGUGUUCUGUUUUGGAUUUAGGAUGAUCCUUCUGGUCUCUUCCAACUUGGGAUAUUCUGUGAUUCAUAAUGCGGGUAACACACCAGUGGUUUUGUUGGUGCAGAGAGGUGCUGCAUGGAGCCAAGGGCAUCUCAGCUUCUCUUGUUGCCCUGCCAGUGAGGGGAUGGGGGGCACAAACUGCUGAGAGGGGACAGCACUACAACAGCAAACCAAAAGGAUAUCCCAUACCAUAUGGCAUCAUGCUGAGUCUGUUCUCUCCCCCAUCUCUUUCGGAGGAGUGAUCAGACUGCUGUAUGGUGCUGAGCAGCCCACCAAGUCCAAGCCACAGAGGUGGUACGGGACACACAGACACACACCCGAC